rnacentral:rRNA from 1 species
UACGUAGGGUGCGAGCGUUAAUCGGAAUUACUGGGCGUAAAGCGUGCGCAGGCGGCGCGUUAAGACGUGUGAAAGCCCCGAGACUUAACUUGGGAAUUGCGCUUGUGACUGGCGUGCUGGAGUGUGGCAGAGGGAGGUGGAAUUCCACGUGUAGCAGUGAAAUGCGUAGAGAUGUGGAGGAACACCGAUGGCGAAGGCAGCCUCCUGGGCCAGCACUGACGCUCAUGCACGAAAGCGUGGGGAGCAAACAGG